rfam:Myotis davidii contig216149, whole genome shotgun sequence.
GAGAUACCCUUAUGGACCAGGACUUGCUUCAGUGGGGCUUUGGUGCUCACUGAGUCUGCUCCUUAAGUGUGUCUCU